UAAUUGCAUCUGAGCAGCACCUCAGACAUUUAAUUGAACUUGGUCUGACUGUACCUUGCAUUUCUAAACUGCUUGGUAUGUCAACACGAACCGUGGAACGAAGAAUGCACGAGUUUGGCAUUACAGUGAGGGGAACAUACUGUCACCUGACGGACGAAGAGCUAGACAAUCUUGUGGUUACAAUCAAAACAACAUCACCACACUCCGGUUACAGAAUGAUGAGAGGACACUUGAAAGCUCUUGGUCAUCGAGUCCAGUGGAGCAGAGUCUGGGACUCUAUGAAUAGAGUUGAUUCAGCUGGAGUCCUUGCUAAGAUGUCACAACUUGGACAUGUUGUGAGAAGAUCCUAUUCGGUUCAGGCACCUCUGUCCCUUGUGCAUUUGGACACCAACCACAAGCUGAUCAGGUCAUGUAUCUGGGGGCUGCAACCAACAACAGGGCAGAGACUGCUCUAGGUUUCUUUCUUGAGGCAGUAGGGAAGCACGGAAUUCCCUCACGGGUAAGAGCAGACCAAGGAGUAGAAAAUGUGGACAUUGCGAGGUGGAUGUUCACAGUUAAAGGCUGUGGCAGGGGAA